AAGAGUUUGAUCAUGGCUCAGAUUGAACGCUGGCGGCAGGCCUAACACAUGCAAGUCGAACGGUAACAGGAAGCAGCUUGCUGCUUCGCUGACGAGUGGCGGACGGGUGAGUAAUGUCUGGGAAACUGCCUGAUGGAGGGGGAUAACUACUGGAAACGGUGGCUAAUACCGCAUAACGUCGCAAGACCAAAGAGGGGGACCUUCGGGCCUCUUGCCAUCAGAUGUGCCCAGAUGGGAUUAGCUAGUUGGUGAGGUAACGGCUCACCAAGGCGACGAUCCCUAGCUGGUCUGAGAGGAUGACCAGCCACACUGGAACUGAGACACGGUCCAGACUCCUACGGGAGGCAGCAGUGGGGAAUAUUGCACAAUGGGCGCAAGCCUGAUGC
rnacentral:rRNA from 1 species